GUAUCAUUGAAAUCAAAUUGGUAGCAACAAACCUGAAGUUUCCUUAAGAACAAACUCUGCCGUUCAGCCAUUGGCACGUCCUUCAACAGUGGAAGUGCCUCCAUUGUUCCCGGCGCCGGAACUGCUGCUGACAUCACUAUCUGCUGCUGCGUCGAAUUGUUCAUCACUCCAACACCAGCACCAGCACCUCUAGAAGCAUGAUUCACCACCACAUUGGAUGUUGAAACCGACCCGGAACUCCGAUUACCUGACGCAGCAACCACAAAAUCCGAAGGAUCCGAUUUCGGCACCUUUUUCUGCCCUCGCUUAAUAAUUUUAUUCAACAUUCUUCUCUUUU
rnacentral:misc_RNA from 1 species